CUCUGUCAAAGACUCGAAAACGAAAACUCUUGUCAUUAUACAUUCAUCUCCCCACUGCAACCCUUGCUACUGUCGCCGUUCUCCAUCGAUAUUCGCUGUUGCCGUUCGCCAUCACCGUCUUCUGUCAUCGUAGAGAUUCAAGAGAACAUGAAAGCCAUUGAUGUCAUCCCACUGCUGACUCCAGUCGUGAUGGAAAGGAUUGAGGCUGUUGUUCAAAGCAAGCCAAAGCGUCCAGAUUCAUAUAGGUAGUGGUGCAAAUAGCCUGCGACGAUGUCUACAACGUAAAAGAGUUUGGCUUGUUUGAAAUGAGGAAGAGAAGACACGGGAAUGAGGAAGCACUUGCGGUGAUUCUGUGUGGCGAAAUCACCAAAGACCAAAGGAAAGAAAGAGGUUGGCGAAUCUGCACCACGACGGUUGUCUGCUCGGUAUCUUCUGAUCUUGCUGGUGGUGGUUGCAGAACAUGGUAGCGAAUCGAACACAAGAAAGGCCAGGUGAGGCUCACAGUGGUGUUUUCCCAAUGGAAAAGGAUGAGUGUUCUGUUUAUGUGUUGGCUGAACAAGGGCUUGUGGAUGCUACGGUGGCGAUAUUGGCUCACGUGGGUGGCUGAGGCCGUGAUGAGGCUAAGCUUCCCUUCGAGCAGUGCUGUCUGAUGGUAGUGGGUCUUGGUGUUUGGUGGUUGAAGUGUGAUGGUUGUGCUACGGUGUAAAUUAGAGUGGCCUGUAGCUGCUUCUCAAUUUGUAUGUUGUGAGGAACAUAGCGUGGUUUGUUGGUCGUGCAUGGAGGAUCUGGUUUGAUGUGGGGCUUCCUAUGGAGGUGCUACACCCUGAUUUCUUUGCACGUUUUUUUAUGUAUAUUGUGAUGUGCAUUAGUUUCCAGAUAUAUUAAUGAGAUGAGAUGAAAGGUUUUGGA